GAUGAACGCUGGCGGCGUGCCUAAUACAUGCAAGUCGAGCGAACAGACGAGGAGCUUGCUCCUCUGACGUUAGCGGCGGACGGGUGAGUAACACGUGGAUAACCUACCUAUAAGACUGGGAUAACUUCGGGAAACCGGAGCUAAUACCGGAUAAUAUAUUGAACCGCAUGGUUCAAUAGUGAAAGACGGUUUUGCUGUCACUUAUAGAUGGAUCCGCGCCGCAUUAGCUAGUUGGUAAGGUAACGGCUUACCAGGGCAACGAUGCGUAGCCGACCUGAGAGAGUGAUCGCCCACACUGGAACUGAGCCACGGACCAGACUCCUACGGGAGGCAGCAGUAGGGAAUCUGCCGCAAUGGGCGAAAGCCUGACGGAGCAACGCCGCGUGAGUGAUGAAGGUCUUCGGAUCGUAAAGCUCUGUUAUUAGGGAAGAACAAAUGUGUAAGUAACUAUGCACGUCGUGACGGUACCUAAUCAGAAAGCCACGGCUAACUACGUG
rnacentral:rRNA from 1 species